rnacentral:rRNA from 1 species
AUUGAACGCUGGCGGCAGGCCUAACACAUGCAAGUCGAGCGGCAGCGGGAAAGUAGCUUGCUACUUUUGCCGGCGAGCGGCGGACGGGUGAGUAAUGCCUGGGAAAUUGCCCAGUCGAGGGGGAUAACAGUUGGAAACGACUGCUAAUACCGCAUACGCCCUACGGGGGAAAGCAGGGGACCUUCGGGCCUUGCGCGGUUGGAUAUGCCCAGGUGGGAUUAGCUAGUUGGUGAGGUAAUGGCUCACCAAGGCGACGAUCCCUAGCUGGUCUGAGAGGAUGAUCAGCCACACUGGAACUGAGACACGGUCCAGACUCCUACGGGAGGCAGCAGUGGGGAAUAUUGCACAAUGGGGGAAACCCUGAUGCAGCCAUGCCGCGUGUGUGAAGAAGGCCUUCGGGUUGUAAAGCACUUUCAGCGAGGAGGAAAGGUUGAUGCCUAAUACGUAUCAACUGUGACGUUACUCGCAGAAGAAGCACCGGCUAACUCCGUGCCAGCAGCCGCGGUAACAC